ACGGGGGGUACAAGCGUUGUUCGGAAUUACUGGGCGUAAAGAGCGCGUAGGCGGCUUGUCAAGUCGGAUGUGAAAGCUCUGGGCUUAACCCAGGAAGUGCAUUUGAAACUGGCAGGCUUGAGUAGGGGAGAGGGAAGUGGAAUUCCGGGUGUAGAGGUGAAAUGCGUAGAUAUCAGGAGGAACACCGGUGGCGAAGGCGGCUUCCUGGCCCAAUACUGACGCUGAUGUGCGAGAGCUUGGGGAGCAAACAG
rnacentral:rRNA from 1 species